GAAGAACGCUGGCGGCGUGCCUAAUACAUGCAAGUAGAACGCAGUUGCGAACGGGUGAGUAACGCGUAGGUAACUGCCUCAUAGCGGGGGACAACUAUUGGAAACGAUAGCUAAUACCGCAUACUGUGAGAUGGACCUGCGUUGUAUUAGCUAGUUGGUGAGGUAAAAGCUCACCAAGGCGACGAUACAUAGCCGAACUGAGAGGGUGUUGGGCCACACUGGGACUGAGAACCGGCCCAAAACUCUGCGGUAGGCAGCAGUAGGGAAUGUUCGGCAUUAGGCGGAAGUCUGACCAGGCAACGCCGAGUGAGUGAAGAAGGUUUUCGGAUAGUAAAGCUCUGUUGUUAGAGUAUCGGUAACUAACCAGAAAGCGACGGCUAACUACGUGCCAGCAGCCGCGGUAAUUC
rnacentral:rRNA from 1 species